rnacentral:rRNA from 1 species
UACGUAGGGCGCAAGCGUUGUCCGGAAUUAUUGGGCGUAAAGAGCUCGUAGGCGGCCUGUUACGUCUGCUGUGAAAUCCCGGGGCUUAACCCCGGGCGUGCAGUGGAUACGGGCAGGCUGGAGGCAGGCAGGGGAGAAUGGAAUUCCCGGUGUAGCGGUGAAAUGCGCAGAUAUCGGGAGGAACACCGGUGGCGAAGGCGGUUCUCUGGGCCUGUACUGACGCUGAGGAGCGAAAGCGUGGGGAGCGAACAGG